UGGCACUUUCAGUGUCCGAGUUGUAAUUUGAAGAAGGUAUCUUUGGGUCUGGCUCUUGUCUAUGUUUCUUGGAACAGAACGUCACAGAGGGUGAGAAUCCCGUGCGAUGAGAUGUCCCAGACCUAUGUAAAGUUCCUUCGAAGAGUCGAGUUGUUUGGGAAUGCAGCUCUAAGUGGGUGGUAAAUUCCAUCUAAAGCUAAAUAUUGGCGAGAGACCGAUAGCGAACAAGUACAGUGAUGGAAAGAUGAAAAGAACUUUGAAAAGAGAGUGAAAAAGUACGUGAAAUUGUUGAAAGGGAAGGGCUUGAGAUCAGACUUGGUAUUUUGUAUGUUACUCUCUCGGGGGUGGCCUCUACAGUUUACCGGGCCAGCAUCAUUUUGGGCGGUAGGACAAUUGCAAAGAAAUGUGGCACUGCCUCGGUAGUGUGUUAUAGUCUUUGUCGAUACUGCCAGCCUAGACUGAGGACUGCGGCUUCGGCCUAGGAUGUUGGCAUAAUGAUCUUAAGUCGCCCGUCUUGAA
rnacentral:rRNA from 1 species